AUUUCAGACAUGGCGAACGCUCCUGCAAGAAAGAAGACAGCACGUCCGAAAGAAGAAAACACUCACAACCUUACAAAUCAUAUCAAUUUCUCCAAUUAAAUCAAACAUCUGAAAGCCCUCACAAAGCAACUACUUUUAUUUCAAGAACACAGGCACACAGCACUACACGCAAGCAUCUACAAGGCGUUCCUAGAUUUCCACAGAAAGAUGUAAAAACGCGGAUGGGAAUGAAGGUCAGCUCCCACUCGAGAAAAUUGGAUUCUCGAUGGACCAAACUAAUCAAGGUUUCUACCCCACCACGAGGCUACCCAAAUACUAAUAAAUGGGAAGGAAAAUGACUGGAUCUGAGACUGAGAGCAAAAUCG
rnacentral:misc_RNA from 1 species